AUUGAACGCUGGCGGCAGGCCUAACACAUGCAAGUCGAGCGGAUGAAGGGAGCUUGCUCCUGGAUUCAGCGGCGGACGGGUGAGUAAUGCCUAGGAAUCUGCCUGGUAGUGGGGGAUAACGUCCGGAAACGGGCGCUAAUACCGCAUACGUCCUGAGGGAGAAAGUGGGGGAUCUUCGGACCUCACGCUAUCAGAUGAGCCUAGGUCGGAUUAGCUAGUUGGUGGGGUAAAGGCCUACCAAGGCGACGAUCCGUAACUGGUCUGAGAGGAUGAUCAGUCACACUGGAACUGAGACACGGUCCAGACUCCUACGGGAGGCAGCAGUGGGGAAUAUUGGAAAAUGGGCGAAAGCCUGAUCCAGCCAUGCCGCGGGGGUGAAGAAGGUCUGCGGAUUGUAAAGCACUUUAAGUUGGGAGGAAGGGCAGUAAGUUAAUACCUUGCUGUUUGGACGUGACCAACAGAAUAAGCACCGGCAAACUUCGU
rnacentral:rRNA from 1 species